ensembl:rRNA 5S_rRNA 5S ribosomal RNA
GCUUACGGCCACACCGCCUGGUUCACGCCCCGAUCUCGGGAAGCUAAGAUAGGUUGGGCCUGGUUAGUACUUGGAUGGGAGACCGCCUGGGAAUACCAGGUGCUGUAAGCU